rnacentral:rRNA from 1 species
GAUGAACGCUGGCGGCGUACCUAAUACAUGCCAGUCGAGCGAACGGACGAGAAGCUUGCUUCUCUGAUGUUAGCGGCGGACGGGUGAGUAACACGUGGAUAACCUACCUAUAAGACUGGGAUAACUUCGGGAAACCGGAGCUAAUACCGGAUGAUAUUUUGAACCGCAUGGUUCAAAAGUGAAAGACGGUCUUGCUGUCACUUAUAGAUGGAUCCGCGCUGCAUUAGCUAGUUGGUAAGGUAACGGCUUACCAAGGCAACGAUGCAUAGCCGACCUGAGAGGGUGAUCGGCCACACUGGAACUGAGACACGGUACAGACUCCUACGGGAGGCAGCAGUAGGGAAUCUUCCGCAAUGGGCGAAAGCCUGACGGAGCAACGCCGCGUGAGUGAUGAAGGUCUUCGGAUCAUAAAACUCUGUUAUUAGGGAAGAACAAAUGUGUAAGUAACUGUGCACAUCUUGACGGUACCUAAUCAGAAAGCCACGGCUAACUACGUA